rnacentral:rRNA from 1 species
GAGGAAAAGAAACUAACAAGGAUUCCCCUAGUAACGGCGAGUGAAGCGGGAAGAGCUCAAAUUUGUAAUCUGGCACUUUCAGUGUCCGAGUUGUAAUCUCGAGAAGUAUUUUCCGCGCCGGACCGCAUACAAGUCUGUUGGAAUACAGCGUCAUAGUGGUGAGAACCCCGUAACUGAUGCGGAUGCCCGGUGCUUUGUGAUAUACUUUCGAAGAGUCGAGUUGUUUGGGAAUGCAGCUCAAAUUGGGUGGUAAAUUCCAUCUAAAGCUAAAUAUUGGAGCAAGACCGAUAGCGAACAAGUACCGUGAGGGAAAGAUGAAAAGCACUUUGGAAAGAGAGUUAACAGUACGUGAAAUUGUUGGAAGGGAAACGCUUGAAGUCAGACUUGCUAUUCGGAGUUCAGCCGCAAGGUGUAUUCUUCGAUUCGCAGGCCAGCAUCAGUUUUCGGGGGUGGAAAAUCGCGGUUUGAAGGUAGCAACUUCGGUUGUGUUAUAGCUUUCCGCUGGAUUCAUCCUUGGGGACUGAGGAACGCAGAUACGCUUUUUGCAAGGCUCUCGAGCUUUUCGUACUUAGCGAUGCUGAGUGGAAUGGCUUUAAACGACCCGCUA